UAAUACGGAGGGUGCAAGCGUUACUCGGAAUCACUGGGCGUAAAGCGCAUGCAGGCGGCCAAAUAAGUUAGAAGUGAAAUCCUACAGCUCAACUGUAGAACUGCUUCUAAAACUGUUUGGCUAGAGUCUGGGAGGGGAAGAUGGAAUUAGUUGUGUAGGGGUAAAAUCCGUAGAGAUAACUAGGAAUACCAAAAGCGAAGGCGAUCUUCUGGAACAGUACUGACGCUGAGAUGCGAAAGCGUGGGGAGCAAACAGGAUUAGAUACCCUGGUAGUCCACGCAGUAAACGAUGAAUGUUAGUCGUUGGAGUGCUAGACACUUCAGUGAUGCAGUUAACACAUUAAACAUUCCGCCUGGGGAGUACGGUCGCAAGAUUA
rnacentral:rRNA from 1 species